AUCCAGCUGAUAAAUUCGAAAUGGGACGAAACUCGAGUCCUGAAU
rnacentral:hammerhead_ribozyme from 1 species